CCACAUCAGGCUCACUUGGCUGGAGACAUCCGCUAGUUAAAGAUGUUCUCCUGUUGCUUGCCGACUUCCCGGGGCUCUGGCUUCCAGAAACCCCAGGGAUGUGGCUUUUUCACUUGCUGUGGAUUUUGGUUCCGCCGUCACACCCCACGCCUCAGGGCAUUUGCCAGGAGGCGCCCUAAGAGAUCCAAACAGGAGAUGGGGCAGGAGUGGGAGGAAGAGAACCUCCGCUCCACCUCCUUGAGGAAGGGGAAAGUGCCCUGCAUAGAUAAGAGAGGCCAGCGCGGGCUCAAGGUGGAGCCAUCUGAAACCUUGGCCACCCUGGAAGAAGAGCAGGCCCGGGUGCACACUAUUGUGGUCCCCUACAUGCCGAAGCAACCACCAACCUCAGUCGAGCAACCAGCUUCGGCACUUGAGCAGCAUGCUGAACCACCUCAAGAGCCUGCCCAAUCUCCUACCGUGGGGUCAGCUGAAGCUUCUGGGCCUGAUCUGUUCAAGCCAGACACUGCUGUUGGAGCUGAGUGUUUUGCCCAAGUCGAGAUGCCAGGGGCUGAGUUGAAGCCAGUGCACAUGGUGGGCACACCUCUAAUUGACUGUCCCGAACUGGAGGAGCCACUUGCACCCUUGGCUGCCCCGGAUGAGGAGCAGUCCCCAGAGCCUGCAGUCAAGGUCCCUGAAGAGCUGGAGCAGCCACCUGUCUUAGUUCAGCAACCAGCUUCGGCCCCUGAGCAAAAUCAUGAACCACGUCAAGAGCCCGCCCCAGCUACCACUAUGGGGCCUGAUGAGCCAUCAGGGCCUGAGAUGCCUGGACCUGAGUGCUUGGCAGGAGCCGAGAUGGCACCUGCUGAUUCGAAGCCACUGCAGGUGUUGGUCACACCUGUGAUUCACUGUCCGGAGCUGGAGGAACCACCUGCACCCGUGGCCCCUCCCAAAGGUGAAGCAGGCCUUCAAGUUCUUCAAAGGGCCGGUGCAGCCACCUGCCUUAGCAGAGAAGCCGGCCUCGGCCGCCGAGCAGCAGCUCGUGAUGCCUGCAACCCAAUGGAAGUUUUCCCCUCCCCUCUCAUUGCACUGUUUCUAAUUUUUGUGGUUGCCAUAAACCUCUAUAAUUGGUUCAUGAGUUUUUUUUGUAAUAAACGUUAACUUUGUAUAAAAAUUUCCUCUGAUGCUUUUAAAUUAUACAUCGUGGUACUUUAGGUCCAUUCCCAGUGUCACCCAGGCGAGACCAGAAGGUACUUGGGCCACAUUUCCAC
rnacentral:lncRNA from 1 species